rnacentral:misc_RNA from 1 species
GUGAGAAAGGUUUAGUCGACCCAACCACCCACUGGGGCCACCCGGGCCACCCCGCCUACCCACCCACUUGCCACCCGACUGCCGUCGAGGAAACAACCUGCAACCUCCUCGCCGCCACUGCCGCACACCAAAGCCGGCAUUAAAUUCAGUUCGUUCAUCACAUUAUUUAAUUUUUUUUUUCAUUUUUAUUUUUUAUUGUUUUUCUUUAAUUUGUGAAAAUAUAUAUUAAUAUUAUUAUUUAUUAUUAUUAUUUUCUUUUUGUUAUUAAAAUAUUGAAUUAAUUAUUAUUUUUUUCGUGUUGUUUAUAUACAUAUAUAUAAUAAAUAAUAAUAAUGAUUAAAGUGCGUGAGUGUAUGUGUAUGUGUGUAUUGUGAUUCAACUGUUUUUAAAUUAUAUUUUCCAAGAAAUAUUAUAAGUAUAUAUUUAUAUUUCAUUAAAUGAUUAAAAUUUAAUUUUUUAAUUACAUAAAUAAAUAUUUAUAAAAAUAAUAUAAUACACAUUUAUCACUAUUGAUUUGUGAAUAUUUAAACAGUUUAAUGUGAUUAAUAAUUUCAUCAUUACAAAAAAAAAGGAUUAUAAUAACAAUAAUAGUAAUAGCUAUUAUUAUUUUAAACAAAAAAAGAAAAAAAGACAUUCAACAAAAAAAAAGGUAGUCAAGAGAAACUUACCCAAGGGGGUAUAGUGUAAGCUUGGUGCCAGAUCACCGGGUGCUUGUAGAUUUAACUAUUUAAUAUAAUACCUUGAAGAAAUAUAAAAUAUAUUAAUAUAAAGAAAAAAAAAAUAAAUAAAAGAAUCAUGGAAAGCGGAACAACUGGUAUUGGCAGACUUGACUGCUAUGAAGAUAUGUUUAAAGAAAUAACACGUAAAUUAUACGGUGACGAUCCUGAUCAUCGAACAUCCAGUGUUCAGAACGAAUUUGAAACAUCAGUAUCAUAUAAAAACGACGAAGAUACAGAAAACAAUACUGAUUCUGACGAUGGUAAUUGGACAUGUGAAGAUGAGCCAUUAAAAGGAACAGACGGCAGUAGAAUUGCAGCUUAUCAUGCUGGUAAAACUACCUGGAAAUGUUACGAGUGUGGUGAUUGUAUGAAUGGUGGACCUCGUGAAAUUGCUGAACAUUUUAUGGAUCUUCAUGCAUCUCGUAUAAUACUUGAUGAUACACGUAAUCGUCAUCAUAUACCAAGAAAAGAUUAUCUACAAGGUGAUUUAAAACUUGAGGAUAUACUUAAUUAUCUUGAAAGAGUUAGAGAUAGAGCUGAAAGAUCAGCACCACCAUCAAGACGUACACAAGAAACACAAACAAUACCAGCUGCAUUAUUACCACCACCAACUACAACCAGCACAUUUUUAUUACAAGAAUUACCAACAACACCACCACCACAACAACAACAACAACAUCAACAUCAACAACAACAUCAACAGCAACAACAUCAACAACAACAACAGCAUAAUUUACAUACAAAUUCACCAACAAUGACACCAUUAUCAACAACAACACCACCAACAACAGCAACAUCAUCAUCUUCAUCAUCUUCAUCCUCGUCAUCAUCAAGUAAUAAACGUUAUACAUGUCCAUAUUGUCCAUAUGGCACUGAUCGUCGUGAUUUAUAUACAAGACAUGAAAAUAUACAUCGUGAAGAAAAACCAUUUCAUUGUUAUGUUUGUUAUAAACCAUUUAAUCGUGCUGAUCAUGUUAAAAAACAUUUUUUACGUAUGCAUCGUGAACACACAUAUGAAUUAUCAAGAAUACGACGUAAUCCAUCAACAAAUAAUAAUAAUAGUACCAUCAAAACAAAUCAACAACAACAACAAGAUACAAAUACAGGAAUAAAUAAUAAUGGAUCAGUACAACAACAACAACAACAAAAUACCUAUACAACAAAUUAUAAUAACAAUAACAACAACAACAACAAUAAUAUAAAUAAUAAUAAAAAUUAUCAAUUACAAACAACACAACCAAGUGUUACAACAGCAACAGCAGCAUCAAAUAUAUAUCAGCAAACAGCAGCAAUGACAUCUGUUAUUGGUAAUAUUCAAGAUAAUAAUAUUGUUAAUAGAAGAAUGACAAAUACUGGAUGUAAAAGUCAAAAUAAAAAUGGAUCAAAAGGAGCACAAGAAAAAAGAUACACCUGUUGUUAUUGUUCAUGGAGUGGUGUUGAUAAUUGGUGUUUAAAACGUCAUUUAAAUACACAUUUAAAACCAUUUGCUUGUGCAUUAUGUGAAUAUAAAGCAGCUCGUGCUGAACGUUUAGCAACACAUGUAUUAAAAGUACAUAAUAAACGACAAUGUUCAAGAUGUUCAUUUUUAGGUGAAGAUGCAUCACAAUUACAGAUACAUCAAUUACAUGUACAUCGUAUUAAUAAUAGUAAUACUGUCAAUACAAUACCAGCAGCAUCAUCAUCACCAACAUCAUCAUCUUCAUCAUCAACACCAUCAUCACAAGUAUCAACAAUUAAUCGUCAUGAACCAGUACAUCCUGUUGGAGUUGGUCGUCCACCACCUGGACCACCAGUUUUUCCAGCACCAUCUGGAGCUGUUAUUUCACCACCAACAACAACAACAAUUCUCAGUGCCGCGGUGGUUGCUGCCACAAGAUGGUAAAAUUAAUUAGCUGGAUUUGGUUAAUAAUCAACGUACACGGAAUGAGAAUAAUCAAACACCAUUCAGUGAUUGUCAAUCAAAUAGACGAAGUAGAUCAAGAAAACAACACGAGCCAAGAAAAGUAUUGAGUCAACGUAGAUCAGCAAAUGAAAAUAUGAUUGAUGAUAAUGAAGAUAAU